GGGAGGCUCGUGGGAGGAGGAAAUGGGGCGAACGACUGGACCUGUCACUGAGUUGCGCGGCUCUUGUGGCCGCAGUGUCACUAAGGCGAUUCACGGGCAAGUCCACACUGUGGAGUCAAGCGCGCUUGGAAAAGUGGGAGAACCAAAGAAUAAAGCUGCAUCCCUAUUUCCUACCUUCCACAAGAAGGAAGAGGAAGUAGGGGAAGGAGGAGGAAGGUGAAGAAGGACAGAAGGAAGAGAAGCAAGAAAAGAUGAAGAGAAAGAACAAAAGAAGGAUACUGGAACUUUUGCUUGACCUCUCAGCCAGAGUUAAUAAUACCUCUCGAAGUGGCUCAAGACUUAGGACUGCUAUCCUCCUGUGGACUCAGUCUGUUUGUUUAACCUGCUGCUAAGCGAACAAUGUAAAAACCUUACUUGCCUGGGAUUUCCCAUGUAAUCAGCCUUUACAACCUAAGAUAAUGCACUGCUGUAAUCUUAAUUUCAUACUCUUCCAUGCCCUGAUCCAGAUAAUGUGUGUCUAUUAUUUGCUGAAAACGGCAAACACAGAACUUGAAAGCAACUUCCUAAGAAUCUACCUUAAAGGAUGAAACCAUUUAAGGAUUAUUAAUUAAUAAACAAUGAUGUUUGUUGUCUGGGUCAGUUGGGAUCAGUUGGAGCCAAUGACUAAAUUAAUUCCCUGUAAAGCUCUGUUAGAGAUUUCUAUAAAGUUUCUCAAUUCCUUUCCCGUGUGAUACUUUCUAUGCUGUUCAAUAAAGACAGCGCAAAAGAGACAAACACACAGAAUGCUAGUUCAAUUCUAUAUUGGUGAACUCUAUAUUGCUUUCCAGAGAAGAUAUGGAUCAUUAAAUGAAAACCUCAGUGCCACAAAUGGGAUAGCUCCCUACCAGUUAUUAGUCAGGGAGGCCCCAAGUGGCCUCCAAAACAACAAAGUCUAUCCUAUUGCUCAUCUCGUUAUGGUGCACAGGAUCCUAUUGCUGGAGACACAACUCAUUUGCCACUGGACAUAGAGAAUCAAACUGAAGCUAGUCUGAAAAUGUUCUUUCUGUUAGCUAGCUUACAUAGUUCUGGAAGGUGUUACGUAGGCCACUGGAGGAGAAAAUCAUCAAUGAGGCAGUAUUACCCCCUGGCAAAGCCUGAAUGCUAUAAUACCGGCCUUCUAGGCAAGGUGUGCACAGUACAACAGUAGCGGCAUGACAGUUAUAGGUGUAACAAGCACUUUCUGGUUGCAGGUUAACUCCAUAGGGGCAGGUUAACUCCAUAGGGGCAAAUUUGUGCCUGGUGUUAUAAAGCUGGUCAAAAGUCCGUGGCUAGAGAGGUCAUCAGACCUGUCAGGGAAAUGUACUACUGUUGUUUGUUAAAUAGACAUGUUGUCAGCUCCUUCUAAAUAGUCAUGCUUAAACACACAGAUUAGUCCUGCCCUCCACUUCAGCCAGAGAAUUUCUCUCUGCAGUGGCCAGAGGUUAAUGCAGAGACUCUUAAUUGGUCAAAGUGCCGAGAAUAAGUGACUAAAAGACUUAGUCCUAAUUGAGACUCUGUAUCACAUCUACCCCCUCUCCCACUCCUACCCCCAAAGCUCAGGGAACAUGGUGGAAUUGGAGGAAAAGCUGGAAGAUGUGGAGAAGUGUUGUGAAAGGCUGUCUUCUAGACUUGUCAUAGCCACUGAACGCACAAACUCAUUCUGCCAUCCUCCUGUGCAAGAUCAAGCCAUUGAGAUCAGUCAAUAUUCCAGCAAGCAGUGCUAAUAGACUCUGUAGGCUCAAAACAAUAACAAAACCAAACAACAAUAGCAAAACAAAAAGGAAGACAUAAAGCAGAAGAGGGAUGUGUUCGGAGUUCCUGAGAGGAGUGGAAUGGGAUGAGUUUGGGAGUGUAUAUGAUCAGAAUACAUUAUUUAUGUGCAUGAAGUUGCCAAACAAUAAGAGAUAUUUAAAAACAUUACAAGAGCAAAAUGAUUUUUCAAGGUAAAAAUCCUUAUCAAAUAAUCCGUAAUUGUAGAUUCCUUUAUAUUCCUGGACAUAAGAUAAAGCCUUCAAAGCAUUCAAGGAAGCCUUUUGCAGUUUCAAAGGAUCCUUAUUUCUACUCUGAUGUAGCUAACAGAAAACUGCCCAGAGCAUUUUGUAUUAAAAGAGUAAAAGUAAUUAUUAGAUUAAGCUCUGAUGUUUGAAGAAAUUCUUUGGCAUAGAAAUAAUUCACCAUGUCCUGACUGUUAGAGGAAUAGUGAUGUAUGUGAGCUUGAAAAUGUUCAAAAAUAAAAAUCUGGUGUGUGUGUGUGUGUGUACAUUGGCACACACAUGUGUGCAUGGAUUUGAUCCCCAGCCCCAUAAAAGAGAUAUAGAACAUGCUAAAAUUUCAUGUCAUCAUUGGAGGUAUUUAAAGUUUUUUUUGUCCUUAUUAAUGUACACUUUGAAAAAUAAAUUUAAAAAAUCAAAUAAGCAACACAA